AUUGAACGCUGGCGGCAGGCCUAACACAUGCAAGUCGAGCGAGCGGAGGACGGGUGAGUAAUGUCUGGGAAACUGCCUGAUGGAGGGGGAUAACUACUGGAAACGGUAGCUAAUACCGCAUACCAUCAGAUGUGCCCAGAUGGGAUUUGCAAGUAGGUGGGGUAACGGCUCACCUAGGCGACGAUCCCUAGUUGGGCUGAGAGGAUGACCAGCCACACUGGAACUGAGACACGGUCCAGACUCCUACGGGAGGCAGCAGUGGGGAAUAUUGCACAAUGGGCGCAAGCCUGAUGCAGCAAUGCCGCGUGUGUGAAGAAGGCCUUCUGGUUGUAAAGCACUGUCAGUGGGGAGGCGUUACCCGCAGAAGAAGCACCGGCUAACUCCGUGCCAGCAGCCGCGGUAAUUC
rnacentral:rRNA from 1 species